rnacentral:tRNA from 5 species
UUUUAAAGGAUAAAAGUAAUCCAAUGG